AUUGAACGCUGGCGGCAUGCUUUACACAUGCCAGUCGAACGGCAGCGCGGGCUUCGGCCUGGCGGCGAGUGGCGAACGGGUGAGUAAUACAUCGGAACGUGCCCAGUAGUGGGGGAUAGCUCGGCGAAAGCCGGAUUAAUACCGCAUACGACCUGAGGGUGAAAGGGGGGGAUCUUCGGACCUCGCGCUAUUGGAGCGGCCGAUGGCAGAUUAGCUAGUUGGUGGGGUAAAGGCCUACCAAGGCGACGAUCUGUAGCUGGUCUGAGAGGACGACCAGCCACACUGGGACUGAGACACGGCCCAGACUCCUACGGGAGGCAGCAGUGGGGAAUUUUGGACAAUGGGCGAAAGCCUGAUCCAGCAAUGCCGCGUGUGUGAUGAAGGCCUUCGGGUUGUAAAGCACUUUUGGUGGGAACGAAAAGGACUGUGCCAAUACCACGGUUCGAUGACGGUACCCGCAGAAUAAGCACCGGCUAACUACGUG
rnacentral:rRNA from 1 species